rnacentral:rRNA from 1 species
GAGUUUGAUCGUGGCUCAGGAUGAACGCUAGCGGCAGGCUUAACACAUGCAAGUCGAGGGGCAGCAUGGCCAGCAAUGGCUGAUGGCGACCGGCAAACGGGUGCGGAACACGUACGCAAUCUACCGUUACCUGGGGCAUAGCCCGGUGAAAACCGGAUUAACUCCCCAUAGUAUAGUUAAAAGGCAUCUUUUGAUUAUUAAAGAUUUAUUGGGUAAUGAUGAGCGUGCGUCCCAUUAGCUAGUUGGUAGGGUAAAGGCCUACCAAGGCGACGAUGGGUAGCUGGUGUGAGAGCACGACCAGCCACGACGGGCACUGAGACCACGGGCCCGACUCCGUACGGGAGGCAGCAGUGAGGAAUAUUGGGCAAGUGGACGGAAGUCUGACCCAGCCA